AGAGUUUGAUCCUGGCUCAGAUUGAACGCUGGCGGAAUGCUUUACACAUGCAAGUCGAACGGCAGCACGGAGAGCUUGCUCUCUGGUGGCGAGUGGCGAACGGGUGAGUAAUAUAUCGGAACGUGUCCAAUAAUGGGGGAUAACGAGUCGAAAGAUUCGCUAAUACCGCAUACGCCCUACGGGGGAAAGCAGGGGAUCGUAAGACCUUGCGUUAAUGGAGCGGCCGAUAUCUGAUUAGCUUGUUGGUGAGGUAAAGGCACACCAAGGCGACGAUCAGUAGCUGGUUUGAGAGAACGACCAGCCACACUGGAACUGAGACACGGUCCAGACUCCUACGGGAGGCAGCAGUGGGGAAUUUUGGACAAUGGGGGCAACCCUGAUCCAGCCAUUCCGCGUGAGUGAAGAAGGCCUUCGGGUUGUAAAGCUCUUUCGCAAGGGAAGAAAACUUAUGAUCGAAUAAAUCAUGAGGUUGACGGUACCUUGAAAAGAAGCACCGGCUAACUACGUGCCAGCAGCCGCGGUAAUACGUAGGGUGCGAGCGUUAAUCGGAAUUACUGGGCGUAAAGCGUGCGCAGGCGGUUUUGUAAGUCGGAUGUGAAAUCCCCGGGCUCAACCUGGGAACUGCGUUCGAAACUGCAAGGCUAGAGUGUGUCAGAGGGGGGUAGAAUUCCACGUGUAGCAGUGAAAUGCGUAGAGAUGUGGAGGAAUACCAAUGGCGAAGGCAGCCCCCUGGGAUAACACUGACGCUCAUGCACGAAAGCGUGGGGAGCAAACAGGAUUAGAUACCCUGGUAGUCCACGCCCUAAACGAUGUCAACUAGUUGUUGGUAGAGUAAAAUCUAUGAGUAACGUAGCUAACGCGUGAAGUUGACCGCCUGGGGAGUACGGUCGCAAGAUUAAAACUCAAAGGAAUUGACGG
rnacentral:rRNA from 1 species